GCCUCUUUAGCUUAGGGGUAGAGCAGUAGUCUUUCAAACUGAAGGUCGCUAGUUCGAAUCUCUCAUGAGGCU